rnacentral:rRNA from 1 species
GUAGGUGGCAAGCGUUGUCCGGAAUUAUUGGGGCGUAUAGCGCGCGCAGGCGGUUCUCUAAGUCUGAUGUGAAAGCCCACGGGCUCAACCGUGGAGGGUCAUUGGAAACUGGAGAACUUGAGUACAGAAGAGGAAAGCGGAAUUCCACGUGUAGCGGUGAAAUGCGUAGAGAUGUGGAGGAACGCCAGUGGCGAAGGCGGCUUUCUGGUCUGUAACUGACGCUGAGGCGCGAAAGCGUGGGGAGCAAACAGGAUUAGAUACCCUGGUAGUCCACGCCGUAAACGAUGAGUGCUAAGUGUUAGGGGGUUUCCGCCCCUCAGUGCUGCAGCUAACGCAUUAAGCACUCCGCCUGGGGAGUACGGCCGCAAAGGCUGA